rnacentral:rRNA from 1 species
UUACGGAAGGCAGCAGUGGGGAAUAUUGCGCAAUGGGGGAAACCCUGAUGCAGCGACGCCGCGUGAGUGAAGAAGUAUUUCGGUAUGUAAAGCUCUAUCAGCAGGGAAGAUAAUGACGGUACCUGACUAAGAAGCCCCGGCUAACUACGUGCCAGCAGCCGCGGUAAUACGUAGGGGGCAAGCGUUAUCCGGAUUUACUGGGUGUAAAGGGAGCGUAGGUGGUAUGGCAAGUCAGAUGUGAAAGCCCAGGGCUCAACCCUGGGACUGCAUUUGAAACUGCCAGACUGGAGUGCAGGAGAGGUAAGUGGAAUUCCUAGUGUAGCGGUGAAAUGCGUAGAUAUUAGGAGGAACACCAGUGGCGAAGGCGGCUUACUGGACUGUAACUGACUCUGAGGCUCGAAAGCGUGGGGAGCAAACAGGAUUAGAUACCCUGGUAGG